ACGGCCGUACCAUGCUGAAUAUACCGGUUCUCGUUAGAUCACCGAAGUUAAGCAACAUUGGGCGCGGUCAGUACUUGGGUGGGUGACCACCUGGGAACACUGCGUGCCGUU
rnacentral:rRNA from 1 species